ensembl:snoRNA
UUACCCCCUUUCACUUUGCCAAUUGGACUUAAUGUCUUUAUUGGUCAUUCAAGUGGGGCAAAGGAAAUAACCUUUUAAAACUCAGGCAAACUGAGUGUUUGUCCUGUAACCUGUCAAAGGAAACAUUG